GGAAGGGAGAUACCAUGAUCAAGAAGGUGGUUCACCCAGGGCAAGGCUCAGUCGUUGCACUCUAGGUUGUGCUGACCCCUUUUUUUGAACUGUAAUGAAUGCACACUUC
ensembl:snRNA U1 U1 spliceosomal RNA